rnacentral:misc_RNA from 1 species
UACGGAGGGUGCGAGCGUUAACCGGAAUUACUGGGCGUAAAGCGCGCGUAGGCGGCGUGAUAAGCCGGUUGUGAAAGCCCCGGGCUCAACCUGGGAACGGCAUCCGGAACUGUCAGGCUAGAGUGCAGGGGAGGAAGGUAGAAUUCCCGGUGUGGCGGUGAAAUGCGUAGAGAUCGGGAGGAAUACCAGUGGCGAAGGCGGCCGUCUGGACUGACACUGACGCUGAGGUGCGAAAGCGUGGGGAGCAAACCGG